rnacentral:rRNA from 1 species
GACGAACCGUCCAAACGUUAUUCGGAAUUACUGGGCUUAAAGGGUGCGUAGGCGGCGCGGAAAGUUGGGUGUGAAAUCCCUCGGCUCAACCGAGGAACUGCGCCCAAUACUACCGUGCUUGAGGGAGAUAGAGGUGAGCGGAACUUAGGGUGGAGCGGUGAAAUGCGUUGAUAUCCUAAGGAACACCGGUGGCGAAGGCGGGUCUCUGGGCCGAUACUGACGCUGAGGAGCGAAAGCGUGGGGAGCGAACAGG